UGGGGAAUAUUGCACAAUGGGCGCAAGCCUGAUGCAGCGACGCCGCGUGCGGGAUGACGGCCUUCGGGUUGUAAACCGCUUUUGACUGGGAGCAAGCCCUUCGGGGUGAGUGUACCUUUCGAAUAAGCACCGGCUAACUACGUGCCAGCAGCCGCGGUAAUACGUAGGGUGCAAGCGUUAUCCGGAAUUAUUGGGCGUAAAGGGCUCGUAGGCGGUUCGUCGCGUCCGGUGUGAAAGUCCAUCGCUUAACGGUGGAUCCGCGCCGGGUACGGGCGGGCUUGAGUGCGGUAGGGGAGACUGGAAUUCCCGGUGUAACGGUGGAAUGUGUAGAUAUCGGGAAGAACACCAAUGGCGAAGGCAGGUCUCUGGGCCGUCACUGACGCUGAGGAGCGAAAGCGUGGGGAGCGAACAGGAUUAGAUACCCUGGUAGUCCACGCCGUAAACGGUGGAUGCUGGAUGUGGGGACCAUUCCACGGUCUCCGUGUCGGAGCCAACGCGUUAAGCAUCCCGCCUGGGGAGUACGGCCGCAAGGCUAAAACUCAAAGAAAUUGACGGGGGCCCGCACAAGCGGCGGAGCAUGCGGAUUAAUUCGAUGCAACGCGAAGAACCUUACCUGGGCUUGACAUGUUCCCGACAGCCGUAGAGAUACGGUCUCCCUUCGGGGCGGGUUCACAGGUGGUGCAUGGUCGUCGUCAGCUCGUGUCGUGAGAUGUUGGGUUAAGUCCCGCAACGAGCGCAACCCUCGCCCUGUGUUGCCAGCACGUCGUGGUGGGAACUCACGGGGGACCGCCGGGGUCAACUCGGAGGAAGGUGGGGAUGACGUCAGAUCAUCAUGCCCCUUACGUCCAGGGCUUCACGCAUGCUACAAUGGCCGGUACAACGAGAUGCGACCUCGUGAGGGGGAGCGGAUCCCUUAAAACCGGUCUCAGUUCGGAUUGGAGUCUGCAACCCGACUCCAUGAAGGCGGAGUCGCUAGUAAUCGCGGAUCAGCAACGCCGCGGUGAAUGCGUUCCC
rnacentral:rRNA from 1 species